UGGGGAAUAUUGCACAAUGGGCGCAAGCCUGAUGCAGCCAUGCCGCGUGUAUGAAGAAGGCCUUCGGGUUGUAAAGUACUUUCAGCGAGGAGGAAGGCGGUAAGGUUAAUAACCUUAUCGAUUGACGUUACUCGCAGAAGAAGCACCGGCUAACUCCGUGCCAGCAGCCGCGGUAAUACGGAGGGUGCAAGCGUUAAUCGGAAUUACUGGGCGUAAAGCGCACGCAGGCGGUCUGUCAAGUCGGAUGUGAAAUCCCCGGGCUCAACCUGGGAACUGCAUUCGAAACUGGCAGGCUAGAGUCUUGUAGAGGGGGGUAGAAUUCCAGGUGUAGCGGUGAAAUGCGUAGAGAUCUGGAGGAAUACCGGUGGCGAAGGCGGCCCCUUGGACAAAGACUGACGCUCAGGUGCGAAAGCGUGGGGAGCAAACA
rnacentral:rRNA from 1 species